AAUAUACACACUGAUCCAACAUAUCUCCACAUGUAAAAAUGGUGAAUUAAAGGUUUAUUUCAAUCAAACCAGAGUGGUGAUUGUUGG